UCAUCUAACUAUCCCUGGGGCAGAAGGGCCAGGUUUUGUUUUCGCAGGGAGGUUGGCCCCACUCGUGUGUGUGGGAGCAGCCGCUGAGCACUCCGGGGAGCCGGCGCGCAGGCACCGGGAGGCAGAGGGGAGCGUUUUCCAUAGCAGGGGUUCAGACAGAGCUGCAGGAACAUAAUAGAACACGCGUCUGCAGCCCAAGAGUGCUGCUUCCUCUCGAAGGAGGAGCAGCCCCUUCAAAAACGAGCUGUGUGCCUGGGCUUUGCCCCCACCGCGCUCCUCCGGCGAGGCCCCGGCCCCACGCCGGCCCCGCACCACUGGCCUCUUGCCACGCUGGCCCCGCACCACCAGCCCUGCCCGCCCGGGACCAGGCUGGCUCAGCACGAGCAAUCCGACAGCCCUGUAGAAACACCUGAGAGAUAUCAUGCAGCUCGGAGGGACAGAACCGAAGCGUUUCGUGCCUUUGACUGACUGAGGAACGCAAGAAGAAAACCUCUUUCUGUUUUCCAGGCAGAGCCCACAGCUGAUUGCUCAGUCUGCUUUACAACACUGAGCUUUUACUUGGAAAUAGCCCCUUCAGCCUGAAAGCAGAAGCUCUGACAAAGACAAAUCCAUUCAUAUCAGGGCCACACUGUUAGAGAUCAGCACUGAGGCUGAGGGAAGUCUGGGCACUGGUACCUGCUGAAGACCCCGCUCCAUCUUUCUUCAUGCAGCCUCCCAUCACACCUGGAUGUGGCUGAGACACCUUUUGGGGCUGACAGGUUCAUUCUUCUUUCCCUGCUGUGCUUUCAGUACUGUGUGGUGUCUAAUUCACAUCGUUUUCAGGCAGAGAGUGCACAUCCCUGUUUUAAUAACAUCAGCAAAAACUAUGCAAACCAUUCAGAGCUUGUUAAAAAUCUUUCACUUUUCCUGGUACAGUGGAGUUCAAUGAGGAAGACGAGUAAUUUGGCCAACCACACUGACAGACCUGAGACAAGGACGCAGGUGUCUUUGUGACCCGUCUGCACCAAACCCCACAGGGGUGCAAAACUGCUGCCCUGCAAUAUGUUUUCUGGGUGUUUGUCCAGACUUUCUGUGUCAAGAGAUGUUGUGCUGAGUGUUUGCAUGGACAUCUUGUCAACAUUUCAAGCUACCAAUGCAGCUGUAUAGCUAAGGCAGAAGGUGGGUUUGGAGCUCUCAGCAUCAUUUUCAGCUCCACAGAACUUCAGCCUUUGGAUUAACGUAGCGGGUGUUUUCCUCAGCAGCAGUCAGCGUCUGCUGUGUGGUUCUCACCCAAAGAAAAGCGUGGGAGGGGGGAUUACAGGAGGGGUCACGACGGUUUUUGCUAACUGGAGAAAGCCUUUGACGUUGCCAGCAGCCUGAGCCCUCGUUCUCCCUGUGCCCUGCCAGGACGGCGCUCGGCGCGGACGCGGGGCCGGCAGCGAGCGCGGUGCCGCGCUGCGUGUAUUUGACAAGCUGAGUCCGACACUCAGUGCGAGAGUGUCAGUUUGUCAAAUACCCCAAGCGAGGCACUGCUGAGCAGCGCGGCGGCUCCGGCUCCGUCCCGCUCGGCAGCGAGUUCUGCUCCUCUGCAGACCCCAGCGACGACCCGCACAGCCCGUCCCACCCGCACCCAGCGCCGCUGGAUCCGCGCCCCAGGUCUGCCUCCCGCCCCGUUCGCGUUCUGCCGCCGAAGCUGCGCAGAAGCGGUGCUGGGGCACGGACCCGAGCCCUGGCUCCUUUGCAGCCACACACAGUGCUCUUCUCUUCCACAGCAUUAACUAGCCUGCUGUUAAUUAGUAAUCCUGCUCAGUUAACAAGGAUUCUGGCAGCUCUAAUCACAACAUCACAGGGAAGGGCAGCGUUAUCCGUAAUACAGAAUCUUUUCUUUAGACACUUCAAUUUGGAGUACAAACUAGUCAGGCUGCUGAUUAACUUCCCUCUAUCCCGUGAGCCCAUGAAACAUGCAUGUUUGCCCAAUCUGUUUUUAAAUUAGGCCAUGGAGUCUAUUGCUUCUCCUUGAAAACCUGUUGUUUGGAGAAGACUCCUUGGUUUUGGAUGGCUGUUCCUAGUCAGCACUCGCGGCAAGGUUGCCUAUUGCUUUUCUUGCAUCUCUGAUAUUUAGCUAAAGUAAUUCCCUUCAAAUUCUCCCACCUGAAGGUCUGAUGGUUGGUAAGUACUUUUAAUUACCGGCUUGUAGCGUAUCAGCCCUGCAGCUUGAGAUAUCUCAGGGCGAGGGAGUGACAGGGGGAGUGCCCAGCCCUGUGUGACAAGAAAUCAUCGAACACUGAAAACUUGGUUAAGGACAGUACCAAGAACAAAUUUAGCAAUGUUUUAGAAUAUUGAUAAACUAGAAUACUAACUUGGGGGGUUGGGGGGGAUUGUUGCAACGAUUUCUCGCUAAAUAUUUUGAAGAAGUUGGAAUUUGUACAAAGUUGGGACCAAUGAAUGUAUGUCAUUGCCUAAGCAGAUUGUGUUCUGCUUUUUGAGCAGGUCCUAUCAGAAGAGUUUAUUGUGCACUUGGGGACAAACAGGGUCCUUAUGACUCACACUCCCGUGGUCUCUCUCAAGCACCUACUCAUGACUCACAGACAUCACCCGAUCUUUAUCACUGAGGUCAGUUUCAAAGAGAACAAGUCUGUUAUUUCAGGGUUGUUUUCUGCCCAGCGGAUCCUCAGCGCAGCAGGUCAGCCCCAGCCCCUCCUGGCCUCGCACACCUCCAGGUUUCAGCAGACCUGAGCUCUUCCGCACCACAGCUGCCAAGUGUUCAUUUGUGUUCUUCAUCAUGGUUUCCUCAUGCAUUUCCAGUUUGUACUUUCAGUGCAGUUUGCCCCUCUGCCUUUUAAACAACACCCACACCCCGUUCCCACCCUGUUCCUUCUAGGUGGCGAAGGAAGUUAACCCCUUCCUUUCUUACCAAAUACUGCAUUUUGGUGGGACCAGCUUCUCUGAGACUUGCUCUCUUGUCCUGGUUGGAAUGGCCAGUUCGGAUGGCUCUGGAGACCAGGGCAGGCCUGGAAAAGGUGAAAGCCAGCAGCUCCCCCCUGUUGUGCGGGAGCUCCAGCUGCUCUGAAGCCAGAGGAGCUGCAAGUCUCCUGGCGCUGUGCUGGCCACCAGAAACAGGGUGUGUUGUGGAGAGCGGUUUCGGAGCAGAAGCUGAGGUUUCUCUGCUGUGCUGGAGCAGAGCUGGCGCUCAGCAGAUGAGUCACGUCCCCGGGUGAGUGGCCAGCGCAAGCGAAGGAGAAGUUCUCAUCUGAUGGUGAUACAGCACAGCAAGCUCUCUGUGACUUUCAAAAGAAAAAUGUUCUCUUUCCAGCAGGUUUUACUACCAAACAUGCCAAAAAUAUAAACUAAAAAAAUUGUCACAUAUUUGCUGCACAGGGAGAAACAGAGCAGAGCAGCUUUUCGUGUUCCCACUGUUGUGCUGCCUAUGGCCGGAGCUGUUCUGCUGCCCAGCCUGGAGGCAGUGACAGCGGGAGGUGUCUGCUUGGCUAGGACCUGCUGCCCCACCUCACCUCCCGUCACCUCCUUCCUCGGCAGCUUCACCCCACUUCAGGGCUUCUGAGGCAGCUGCCAGAGCUCCUCAGAGCAGAUCAGCACUGGGAAGAAGCAAGAGCUGGAAAAAUCAGGGUGUUACAUAGUCAGUGGGGGAGCUGGAACCUUAUAAUGGCAGCAAGUCUUGCAUAAAACACUAGGCUAAUUGAGAAUUAAUAAAGAUGGCACCUGGGGGCUAAAAGAGA